GUGCUAAGGUAGCAUAGUCAUUUGCUUCUUAAUUGGGAGCUGGUAUGAACGGUUGAACUAGGCAAGUAGGUGUGUUAGUUUAAAUAGAAGAUUAAAGUUAAAGUAAGAAUUCUUUAAUAUCUUAGGGGACGAUAAGACCCUAUAAGCUUGAUAAGUAUAGAUAUGAUUUUGUGGUUUAAGUUACGCUAUUUUACUGGGGCGGUAUUGGUGUUUAAACUAUCAACUAAAUUAAGAUCCUUAAAAUAUAGAUGAAACGGAUAAGUUACUUUAGGGGUAACAGUGCAAUAUUUUUGGAGAGCUCUUAUCGAUACAUAUGCUUGCAACCUCGAUGUUGAAUUA
rnacentral:rRNA from 1 species